AAAAAAAAAAAAAAAAAAAGCGCCAAAGGUCAUUUGCCUGUCACGGACAAUGACAAAUCCCCUAAUCAAUCGGUAGCUUCCUGCAAAGACACGAUUCAAUCCAAGGUAUAAUUGACCAAUUACCUUACUAAUUCUUUCGAUUUCUUUAUGCAUUCCUCUCGUCUCAAUAGCAACAAACCCUAGAUUGCUACUCUCUCUUUAGGUAUUUGAUAUGGAGAAUAUGCAGUACGCGGAGGAGCUGGUAAGGGAAUUUCUAGUUUUUAGAGGGUUUACUAAUGCUCUGCAGGCUUUCGAGAUGGAAUUAUCCACGGAUAUUGGUAAAGGGUUUCAAGUAGAUAAGAUAUUAGACUUAAUCUUCUCCAUAUACAUUCCCAAAUUUCAAGCAGAGAAAUUGGUCGGUCUGCUUAGGUUCUUCAAGCAGUGUUUUUCUUCGGUAUCUGAGGCUGUACUUCUUUCUACUUUAUCGAAGCUGGAGGUUUCGAUUCUUCGUUAUUAUAUCGUUUGCGCGGUGCAAUCAGGAAGGAAAGAUAAAGUGGUGGAAUUUUUUGGAAUGAAUGGAAAUGAUUUGCUGCAAAGAGGUGGUGAUUGGACUCCGUGGUUUGCUAUUCCGUAUUUGAAGAACCCCAGCUUGGAUCCUCAGUUUCGCAUUUAUUUCUCUAAGGAGUGGUAUGAAGCAUUGCGCCUUUCUGUGAGGAAUUUCUUCAGUGAGAUCUUCAGUGGUACUCGCAUCCCUGCCCUGUUGAGGAUCAGUUCAGAGAAGAACACAAUCAAGCAUCUCAACAACGACAUCAAGCAACUUAACAUGAAGCUAUCGCAACUUCAGGCUUUAUUUGAGGAGAAAGAGGCUCAGUUGUGCAGGUUGAGGAGUAAUGGCAACAAUGCUGCAUCUAUAUUGGAUUCUAAUGUGGGACAAGGCAACAAUUCAACCCCAUCAAGUGCUAUGAGGACUGUGGAAACUUGUGUUUCUGCUAUCCCUAGUAUAAGUGAAACUGAGCAGGCUCAAGAAAGGGCCACUGGUGGACCUGCCAAUGGUUCAAGUUCUAUAGCAAGAAUUGACAUUGAAGAAGGCAAACCUAAUGAUGCCAUUCAAAUGAUCCAUAGUAGCCCUUGCAAUGGUAGGUAAUUAUUCUGUACUUAAUCUCUUAAGUGAAUUAAAUAUGCUGCGACAGUUCUGUGACCAUCAAACUUGGUAGAGUUAAUGUGUUUCAAAAAUGAUAAGACCAGCUGAUGUUCUGGGGGCAUAACAAGGAUGAGGAUUUUGAGUUGCAUCAGUGAAAAGAUGAGCAACCAUGAUGUUAGAGUCUCAGACAAAUUAGAAAUAGCUUCAUUAGUAGCAGUGUUUGUAUGUAAUUAAAUAAGUCGGUUCUCUAAUAGCAUAAAUGAUAUGCAUAAGGUAUAUUAUAAUUGUUGUGAGAAGAUGUAAUUGUUAAUUUAGUGAAAUUAUAGUCAAGAGGAGGUUAGAGGGGGAUGUAGACAAGUCUUUGUGCUAGAAUAAAUGAACAUUACGUUUUAUCUUUUGAGGUUGUUACAAAAGUUGGAUGAAAGUAGUGUGUUCUCACCAAUGAUAUGUUUUCUUUCCUCUUCUUUUCUUUUCCCUUAAUAGUUAGUAAGGUGAUCCCUCGUAUUUCAACUUCCUGCUAGUUAAGUAAUAUUUGAAUCUUACGUUACAGACAAUGGCAGGGAAAUGCUGGAUGAAGAAGAAUUCCCUGAAGUGAAAGUAGAAUUCCAGGUGAAAUUACUUGUGAAGACUGGUUAGAUUGUAUAAUGUGUUGAUAUCUCUUAAUUGAAUUGUUCGUUUAUUCUUCAUUGCUUUUGUAAUUUUAGCAAAACCUUGUCUUUUUAGGAGACAUUUUUGGGCCACACAAGUCCAAUAAGUCGAUGUCGAUUUUCUGCUUCUGGGAACAAUAUAGCUAGUGCUUCUGUUGAUGGAACUGUUAGGUAUUUAUUGUGAAAAUGGUUUGAUAUAAAGAUCUAGAUUCUAGACUUAGUCAUUUUUGUAGCAGUUGUUUAACUGUUUUAUUAUUGUUUGCUAACUUCCAAAUUGCGCUUUUUUCAUUCUCUCUCCAUUCAUAUUUUGAUAAAGGAUAUGGACAUAUGACUCAUCAACUCCAACAUCUAGAAAUGCAACUAUAUAUUGUGGGGCGGAGAUUAUGUCUCUUGAUUGGGACUGUAAAUCCGACCGCUUGGUAUGUAUUAUGUCAUUUUCUACUAAAAAUGUGUAUCUGUAUCAUUUGAUGGAUAAUCACUUGACUAUAUGGGAUUGAUAAUUCCUCCCAUUAAGGUUUUUUAUUUUUUUUUUUUUCUUUCCCUUAUUCAUGUGGACAAAAGCUUCUCAUAGGCACUGCUGAUGGUGGUAUCAAAGCAUGGAAUGUCGAUGCAAAGCGAGUUGUUUGUGAUCUCAAUACAAGUGAAGCAUUUCCCAGUGUCUUGGAUCUGAAGUGUAGUCCUGUAGAACCAGUUUUUGUUUCUGCAGCAGCAUCCAGAAAGUAACUUAUUUUAACUUUUCAUUGUCAAAUGAGCCUUUGAAUAUUGAAACCCCAAUGUUAUGCAUAGUUUAGAGACAAUUAUUUGUAUUUAUUUCUUCAAAGUUUACUCUCUCUUCCCCUCCCUCUAUUUGGGGUUUGAUAUCAGUAGGAGCUUGUUUUCUUUGCAGGCAGGGCUCAAACUAUCUUGACAGUUUGGGAUUUGCUUCCUUAACUGUAUGGAACAUGAAGACAUGGAGGGCUAUGGUAUGUGUUUGUUUAUUUCAGACCAUUGUGUUAGAGUUCAGUGGCACAUCAUCUACUUACUGCUCAAUGAAUUUCAAAUUUAAUGAAGACAGUUCUUCCUCUUGGUGAGGAUCCACCUGCAAUUACUUCCCUAUGCUUCAAUCACAAUGGGAAGAUUUUAGCAGCUGCUGCAACUGAUGGAAUGAUCCACAUGUUUGGUAUCCUUUAAUAUUCUUAGGGCUUGGCAAUUUUUAAUUUUUAUUCUAGUUAAGUGGUUAAUGAUCUAAUUAAGAAUCCCAGACUCCCCCCACCCCCAACUGUUACCUUCUUCUUCUGCUUGAAGUAGUGACCCAGUCUUUUAGCAAAAAGAAAUAAGUUCCUUGUUUAUGCAUAAUUAAGGUUGUGUGCAGAUGUGCAAACAGAUAUAUAUGCAUGCUGCACCUUAACUAGCUAAAGACAUGUCUGCUGGUCUACAAAUUACUGGGUGGCCUGCACAUGAUUCUGCGAUAAAUUCUAUUCUUUUUGGGCCAGAUGAGACUAGCAUUUUCAGCUUGGGUUCAGAUGGGAAGAUUUUUGAAUGGAGCUUGCAAAACCAAGGUCAUGUUCUUUGGUCAAGGAAUUGUAGCAGGUACUUUCUCUUUGCUUUCUAGUAUAUCUAGGCUGCUGAGCCUAACAGGCACAUUUGAUUCCCAUAGGGCUUGAAACUGAAUAAUCCUUUUAUAUGCAUUUUAUACUAUAAUUGAGUAGCUAGUGUGUUGAUCAUGGCUUUUGAGUUUUGUAAUGAUUGUAGAGAUGGAAUAACAACAUUAUUACUGAUACAGAAAGAAAAAGGUUGGAAUGAUAACAAGUAUUUUGGACAUAUGAAAGUAAGAAAACCUAAUGCAAUCCGCACUGAAGCUUAUCCAGUUACUGUUUGAUCAUUUAAGAAAUUAUUCUCAAAGGAUUUUCUGUUUGAGACUGAGUCUUGGAUUUGUCAAACAAACUAUAUCCAAUGUGCUGAGUGAUUCAAUGGUUGUGGAGAUGAUUUUAUUACCGUGUGCUGCUAUGUUGUCUGUUUAGUUGGCUUAAUGUGGCUAUAACUGCAUCUUAGUGGAUUAUGAGUUAUGAAAGGGACUUCUAUGUUGAUGCAAUUCUGUAGGUUUUGUGACCCUGAGACCUCAAAAUAUUAUAGACAUGAAAUGGGUUUGGAUGCAAAUGGAAGGAGACUAUUGGUAACAUCUGGUGCAGUACGAGCACCCAUAUAUCAGGUGAAUAUCUCUUUUUCCCACUCUUCAGCAUUGUUUGUUUUUCGAAAAAUAUUUUCUUGGAAAUCUUUUUUUGUAUUUUCUAGCACUUGGGAAAAUGGAUCAACAGAAAUUUUUUUUUUAGUGAAAAGGAAAACUAAGCUAUUUUUCAGGAAAAUAACUUCCUCUUUACAAAGGAGGAAGUCAUUUAUUGACUUUAACAAUAUAAAAAUGUGAAAAAACUUGUAUAUGUAUGAUAUAAAUAUAUAUCAUUAAUUUAAUGUUACAACCAAAUAACAUGAAAUAUUUUGAUAGAAAAUAUUUUCAAUAUACAACAAAUGAAGCCUAAGCUUUUUUCCAAAACAUUACACCCCAACUUUGAUCAAUGAAACAUGAGAAGAAACAAAAAUCAAGAAUUGCAAUGAAGUGGAUGUUAUUAAGAUGAUACAUCAUAAAUCCACUAAAAAAGAGGAAUGUCGCAUCUUAUAGUGAAAUGAAACACCCUAGUAUUCAAUGUAAGAAAUUAUAGGACUUUCGAAUGUGGUAGAUAAUUGAAGAAAACUUGCAGAAAGUUUUUAUUUAGACCUGAUUUAUUAUGAAUUUAAGACACAAAUAAGUGAGACUCAUAUAUUUGAUAGGUGAAUUACUUCAUAUAUAUUGUGUCUUGAAUUUAUGAUAGAUUAAAACUAAAUAAGAGAAAUUCAAAAAUUUACAUAUGUAUAUAUAUGUAGUGUGUCGUAUUAAAAAGCUGGCCUUAUUAGAGUAAAAUGUUUAUUUAUCUAUUAGCCUCAUCUCCAAGUCCCAUCAUCACAUGGAGAGCAACCCUCUUGUGCAAUAUCAGUAAUUUGAAUUCCUGAGUCAUAUACGACCCCUGGUUUCCAAUCUGCAGGAAGAACACUCUUUGCCCAAAUCCACUUCCCAUCAUAUCCAGCUGUUACCACAAAUCGGAAUUGCAGAGCCCCCGCCGGAACUCUGCUCGAAUCCCAUACCGCCCCGUAGUUCCGGCUCAUGUAACUCCAGUUUGAAGAACCAACCUGUAACCAUUUCCCAAUAUCAACACACACAAAAUUUGGAAAAAAAAAAUCAGAAUGAUAAUUUCUGUUUAAUAACUGUGUUGUUAGUUUGAGGCUUUGGCCAACCUUAGCUAUAUCAAUUGCUAC
rnacentral:misc_RNA from 1 species